GCCCAGUAGCGUAGUGGUAUCGCGUCCUGCUAACGUCGGCUCGGGCGUGUGUGGUUGCCCGUGGUUACCCACACACGUCGACGUGAAACUUGAAGAGCCUUGUUCGAAUCAAGGACUGGGAAAUCA